rnacentral:rRNA from 1 species
UACGUAGGGGGCUAGCGUUGUCCGGAAUCAUUGGGCGUAAAGCGCGUGUAGGCGGUCCGGUAAGUCCGCUGUGAAAGUCGGGGGCUCAACCCUCGAAUGCCGGUGGAUACUGUCGGGCUAGAGUACGGAAGAGGAGUGUGGAAUUCCUGGUGUAGCGGUGAAAUGCGCAGAUAUCAGGAGGAACACCAAUGGCGAAGGCAGCACUCUGGGACGUGACUGACGCUGAGACGCGAAAGCGUGGGGAGCAAACAGG